UACGAAGGGGGGCUAGCGUUGUUCGGAUUUACUGGGCGUAAAGCGCACGUAGGCGGAUCGUUAAGUCGGGGGGUGAAAUCCUGGAGCUCAACUCCAGAACUGCCUUCGAUACUGGCGAUCUUGAGUCCGGAAGAGGUGAGUGGAACUCCUAGUGUAGAGGUGGAGUUCGUAGAUAUUAGGAAGAACACCAGUGGCGAAGGCGGCUCACUGGUCCGGUACUGACGCUGAGGUGCGAAAGCGUGGGGAGC
rnacentral:rRNA from 1 species